rnacentral:rRNA from 1 species
UACAGAGGAGCCAAGCGUUGUCCGGAUUGACUGGGCGUAAAGCGCACGCAGGCGGUCUGGCGCGUGGGGUGUGAAAUCUGGCCGCUUAACGGCCAGGCGCCAUCCCAUACGGCUAGACUGGAGGGCUGCAGAGGUCGAUGGAAUUGCCGGUGUAGUGGUGAAAUGCGUAGAGAUCGGCAGGAACACCCAGGGGGAAACCAGUCGACUGGGCAGCACCUGACGCUGAGGUGCGAGAGCGUGGGGAGCGAACAGG